AACCUGCCCUUCAGAGGGGGACGAACAGUUGGAAACGACUGCUAAUACCGCAUACGAUCCAACCUCGGCAUCGAGGAUGGAUGAAAGGUGGCCUCUAUUUAUAGGCUAUCACUGAAGGAGGGGAUUGCGUCUGAUUAGCUAGUUGGAGGGGUAACGGCCCACCAAGGCAAUGAUCAGUAGCCGGUCUGAGAGGAUGAACGGCCACAUUGGGACUGAGACACGGCCCAGACUCCUACGGGAGGCAGCAUG
rnacentral:rRNA from 1 species